AAGAGUUACAGCUCUUUUCAAAUUUGUCUAGCAGAUUUUCCAUUUUUUCCCAGAACCAC
ensembl:snRNA U7 U7 small nuclear RNA